GACGAACGCUGGCGGCGUGCCUAAUACAUGCAAGUCGAGCGGACUUUUGGGAGCUUGCUCCCAAAAGUUAGCGGCGGACGGGUGAGUAACACGUGGGCAACCUGCCUAUAAGACUGGGAUAACUUCGGGAAACCGGAGCUAAUACCGGAUAAUUCCUUUCCUCUCAUGAGGGAAGGCUGAAAGACGGUUUCGGCUGUCACUUAUAGAUGGGCCCGCGGCGCAUUAGCUGGUUGGUGAGGUAACGGCUCACCAAGGCGACGAUGCGUAGCCGACCUGCGAGGGGGAUCGGCCACGCUGGGAACGGUACACGGCACAGAGUCCUACGGGAGGCAGCAGUAGGGAAUCUACCGCAAUGGACGGAAGUCUGACGGAGAAACGCCGCGUGAGUGAUGAAGGUUUUCGGAUCGUAAAACUCUGUUGUUAGGGAAGAACAAGUACGAGAGUAACUGCUCGUACCUUGACGGUACCUAACCAGAAAGCCACGGCUAACUACGUGCCAGCCGCCGCAGUAA
rnacentral:rRNA from 1 species